rnacentral:lncRNA from 1 species
CCGACCCGGAAACAGUUCUCUGUGUUUCCGGCCUGGCUGAGUUUCCUCCGCCUUUGCUUACCCUCUUGGCUAGUCUAGCGGCCAAGGCUUCCCGCUUUCGGGGAAGGCCUGCAAAGUGAGGCCUCGGGCUAGGGUUGGCGGGCGCGUGGUGGGAACCGCGUGGAACCGAAGGGCUCCCACGGGAACAAGGGCAUCACUGACGGUACGGCCUCUCGGGUCUAUUGACCCUUCUCUGCCUCCCCGGUCCGGACUCAUACAACUUGGAGGCCCAGAGGUCGUCCAGUCUCAUCUUGACGUCAGGUCUGUGACAAGAGGGUGAUUGGGGAAGCAUUCCCAGUGUACACCUUCUUCCCCAUUCCAACGUUGGACAGCAUUCUUUUUUAGAGAGAUAGUAUAGUAAAGAUAAUAUGGCCGGGCAAGGUGGCUCACGCCUGUAAUCUCAGCAUGUUAGGAAGCCGAGGCGGGCGGAUCACCUGAGGUCAGGCGUUUGAGACCAGCCUGACCAACUGGUGAAACCCCGUCUCUAUAAAAUACAAAAAUUAGCCAGGCGUGGUGGCAGGCACCUGUAAUCCCAGCUACUCCAGAGGCUGAGGCAGGUGAAUCACUUGAACCCGGAAGGAGGAGGUUGCAGCGAGCCGAGAUCGCGCACUACACUCCAGCCUGGAUAACAGAGCGAGACUUUGUCUCAAAAAAAAAAAAAAUAAUAAUAAUAUAGACAGCCUAAAUGUCUGCCUCCGGAUUCAAUUUAUUCUAUGUGUUUUUCCAGAUAUUUGACCAUAUGAUAUCAUGAAACAUUCUUUGAGCACUUGGUGCCACACACUGUUUGGGAACAGGAAAUCUGCAAUAAUGUUCUCCCUACCGUCAAGUAGGAAAACAGCAAUACGGUGAACAAUAGGUGUUCCAUCAGUUAUGUGACCUUGGGCAAUUAUGUGACCUUGGGCAACUUCUCAUCUCCAAGCUUGUUUUGUUGUGAGAAUGUGGUCUACAUCACAGACAUAACAGCUAACAUUUAUUGAGUGUUAUGUUCUGGGUACUAUGCUAAAGGUUUUUUACGUAUUAUCUCACAUUAUUAUGUAUUAUCCUAUGUAUUAUGUAUUAUGUAUUAUCCUAACAUUCCCAUUUUACAGAAACAGAGGUACCUAAGUAACCUGCUUAAUGUGACAGACCUAGUAAGAGGGAGCUGGGAAGUUGAACCCAGCAAUCUGAAAAAGCAGGAUGUGAUGGGGCUAAGAGAAAGCCAUGUGCCUAGCCGGGCGUGGUGGCUCACACUUGUAAUCCCAGCACUUUGGGAGGGCCGAUCACUUGAAGCCUGGAGUUCGAGUUCAGCCUGGCCAACAUGGUGAAACCCCGUGUCCACUAAAAAUACAAAAAUUAGCCAGGCGUGCACACACCUGUAAUCCCAGCUACUUGGGACGCUGAGGCACAAGAAUUGCUUGAACUGGGGAGGCGGAGGUUGCGGUGAGCCAAGAUCAUGCCACUGCACUCGAGCCUGGGCAACAGAGUGAGAACCUGUCUCAAAUACAUAAAAAUACAUUGUGUCAUAUCGAUUUGUGAAAAGUUCCUACUUUAAGAGAGCUUACAUGUAACAGAAAACCACCAGGCAAUUAAAACAGUUUCUAUAAGGGCUAUUAAAGUGCAAGAUUCUAGAGAGGCAUUUAGGAGUGGCAUCUGUCCAAGCCAAACUUGCUGUGUGAGUGCAGGAAUAUACAAAAUGUUAAGUCUAAACAAAGUAGAGAGAUCAUUUCAGGUAGAGGCCAUUCCAUCUACAUCCUCCUAUUAAUUAGAAGGCACUUUGAGGAUAGGUAUUGCCUCUUGUUUAUCUAGAUAAACUCCAGAGUUUAGUUUGGCUUAAAUCUGUUAAUUCUAUUAACUUAAUUCUGUUAUUCUCGAUUAACUCUGUUAAACAGAAAAGAUGCUCAAUAAAUUGUUUCUCAGUUGAAUGGGAAAAAACCAAUUACUUAAAAUUGGGAAUGCUGACUUUCAAAGAGGCUGAAUAGAUUUCAGCCUAAGCUUAAAAAUUCAUUUUUUUCUGGCACCUUUGCAACGAGGAACUAGUUUUCUAUAACGUGGUUGGCCUGAAACUGAAUUGUUCUAAUGAUAAUGCAUAGAUACUACAAGCCUAGAAGAAACAUGUCCUAUUAUAGAGCAGAGACAUUCCUGCUGAAUUCUUCAUUAUAUUGGAUAUAACUGAAACUAAUUGUCUUACCUUUGAAUAUUUAUAAGUUCAAAAAUAGUCAACAUUUAUUCUAAUGGUAUAACUUUUUUUUUUUUUUUGGAGACAGUCUCACUCUGUCACUCAGGAUGGAGUGCAGUGGCAUGAUCUCAGCACACUGCAGCCUCCACCUCCCAAGUUCAAGUGAUUCUCAUGCCUCAGUCUCCUGAGUAGCUGGGAUUACAAGCGUCCGCCACCAUGCCCAGCUAAUUUUUGUAUUUUUAGUAGAGAGGGCAUUCUGCCAUGUUGGCCAGGCUGGUUCUCGAACUCCUGACCUCAAGUGAUUGGCCUGCUAAAGUGUUGGGAUUACAGGUGUGAGCCACUGCACCUGGCCAAGGUGUAAAAUUUUAAAGCGCCUUUGGUUGAAACCAAACUAUUUCCACAUUGUACUUUAACAAGUGAAUGGUUAGAAUGCUAUUUUGCAUUAGUUUCCAAUUUGUGAAUGGCAAAUUCCCAGGGGCCAUAGAGUUACUGUCAAGAUGAAAGAAUCUACCAAAGACCAACCCAAGUUUAUACCCUUCACUGUCUGCCACGGUAGCCAUUAGCUACAUAUAGCUACUCAACACUUGAAUUGUGGCUAGUCUAAUUUUAAGCUAUAGAUGCGGUAUAGCUUGAAAUGCACACUGGAUUUUCAAGAUUUUAUAUGAAAAAUGGAAUGCAAAACAUCUCAUUAACCAUUUUUAUAUUAACUAUAUGUUGAAAUAAUAUUUUGGGUAUAUUAGGUUAAAUACACUACUAAAAAUAAUUUUCGGCUGGGCACAGUGGCUGAUGCCUAUAAUUCCAGCACUUUGGGAGGCCAAGGUGAGCAGACCACGAGGUCAGGAGUUCGAGACCAUCCUGGCCAACAUGGUGAAACCCCAUCUCUACUAAAAAUACAAAAAUUACCUGGGCGUGGUGGCAUGUGCCUGUAAUCCCAGCUACUCGGGAGGCUGGAGAAUCAGCAAAUUUUACCUGUUUUUUACUUCUUUAAUGUGAUACUAGAAAAUUUAAAAUUAUACAUGCAGCUCAACAUUUUAUGAGACACCACUGCAGCAGACUAAAUAAAUGAUUUAUAAAGCAUGUAUUGGGCCGGGCACGGUGGCUCACGCCUGUAAUCCCAGCACUUUGGGAGGCUGAGGUGGGUGGAUCACGAGGUUGGGAGUUCAAGACCAGCCUGGCCAACAUAAUGAAACUCCAUCUCUACUAAAAAUACAAAAUUAGCUGGGCGUGCUGGUACAUGCCUGUAAUCCCAGCUACUCGGGAGGCUGAGGCAGGAGAAUUGCUUGAACCCGGAAGGCGGAGGUUGUGGUGAGCCGAGAUCAUGCCAUUGUACUCCAGCCUGGGCAACAAGAGUGAACUCCGUCUCAAAAAAAAAAAAAAAGAAAAGAAAAAAAAAUUAUACCCCAAUAAUGGGAACCACUACUUUACACACUAUGGAUUCAUAAUAAAAUUUAUUUGAGGGAGAAUGGAGAUAAGAGGAUAAAUAAGAGGCCAGCCAGUGGGUGUGCAAA